CCCCGGCCCGUGCCGUCGCCUGAGCCCCGGCCUGCCUGGCCCGGCCCGCGCCAUGGAGUCCGGCCGCGGCGGCCUGGAGACCGUGGGCAAGUUCGAGUUCUCGCGCAAGGACCUGAUUGGGCAUGGCGCCUUCGCCGUGGUCUUCAAGGGGCGCCACCGCGAGAAACACGACCUGGAGGUCGCUGUCAAGUGCAUUAACAAGAAGAACCUGGCCAAGUCGCAGACUCUCCUGGGGAAGGAGAUCAAGAUCCUCAAGGAAUUGAAACAUGAAAACAUCGUGGCGUUGUAUGACUUCCAGGAAAUGGCCAAUUCCGUCUACCUGGUCAUGGAGUACUGUAACGGCGGCGAUCUGGCCGAUUACCUGCACACCAUGCGGACGCUGAGCGAGGACACCAUCCGGCUCUUCCUGCAGCAGAUCGCCGGUGCCGUGCGGCUACUGCACAGCAAGGGCAUCAUCCACCGGGACCUGAAGCCCCAGAACCUCCUGCUGUCCAACCCUGGUGGGCGCCGUGCCACCCCCAGCAACAUCCGGGUCAAGAUCGCCGACUUCGGCUUUGCCCGGUAUCUGCAGAGCAACAUGAUGGCGGCCACGCUCUGCGGCUCCCCCAUGUACAUGGCCCCCGAGGUCAUCAUGUCCCAGCACUACGACGGGAAGGCGGACCUGUGGAGCAUCGGCACCAUCGUGUACCAGUGCCUGACAGGGAAGGCGCCCUUCCAGGCCAGCAGCCCCCAGGACCUCCGCCUCUUCUAUGAGAAGAACAAGACGCUGGUCCCCCCCAUCCCCCGGGAGACCUCGGCCCCGCUGAGACAGCUGCUCCUGUCUCUGCUUCAGCGCAACCACAGAGACCGCAUGGACUUCGAUGAGUUUUUCCAUCACCCCUUCCUUGACUCCAGUGCCGCUGUGAAGAAGUCCCCGCCCGUGCCCGUGCCCUCGUACCCAAGCUCGGGGUCCGGCAGCAGCUCCAGCAGCAGCUCCACCUCACACCUGGCCUCCCCACCGUCCCUGGGGGAGAUGCAGCAGCAGCUCCAGAAGACCCUGACCUCCCCGGCCGAGGCCGCCGGCUUCCUGCAGGGCUCCCGGGACUCGGGCGGCAGCAGCAAGGACUCGUCCUGUGACACUGAUGACUUCGUCAUGGUCCCGGCCCAGUUUCCAGGUGACCUGGUGGCCGAGGCGGUCGGUGCCAAGCCGCCACCGGACAGCCUGAUGUGCAGCGGGAGCUCGCUGGCGGCCUCUGCUGGCCUGGAGAGCCGCGGCCGGACCCCGUCUCCUUCCCCGCCCUGCAGCAGCUCCCUCAGCCCCUCAGGCCGGGCCGGGGCAUCCUCCAGCAGCAGGUGCGGGGCCUCGGCCCCCAUCCCAGUCCCCACUCAGGUGCAUAACUACCAGCGCAUUGAGCAGAGCCUUCAGUCGCCCACCCAGUACCAGGCGGCGCGGUCCUCUGCCAUCCGCAGGUCAGGCAGCACCAGCCCGCUGGGCUUUGCACGGGCCAGCCUGUCACCCCCGUCUCACGCCGAGCACGGAGCUGCCCUGUCCAGGAAGUUCUCCCUGGGUGGGGGCCGGCCCUACACGCCGUCUCCCCAGGUCGGAACCAUCCCCGAGCGGCCAGGCUGGAGCGGGGCGCCCUCCCCCCAAGCAGCUGAGAUGCGGGGUGGCAGGUCCCCUCGUCCAGGCUCCUCCGCACCUGAGCACUCUCCCCACAGCGCCGGGCUGGGCUGCCGCCUGCACAGUGCCCCGAACCUGUCCGACCUGCGUGUGGUGCGUCCCAAGCUGCCCAAGCCCCCCACGGACCCGCUGGGCGUGGCGUUCGGCCACCCGCAAGCCAGCCCCCCGCAGCCCUCCCAUGGGCUGCAGUCCUGCCGGCCCCUGCGCGGCUCGCCCAAGCUGCCCGACUUCCUGCAGCGGAACCCCCUGCCCCCUAUUCUGGGCUCCCCGACCAAGGCCGUGCCCGCGUUCGACUUCACCAAGACCCCCAGCUCCCAGAACUUGCUGACUCUCCUGGCCCGGCAGGGCGUGGUGAUGACGCCGCCUCGGAACCGGACGCUGCCCGACCUCUCCGAGGCGGGGCCCUUCCAGGGGCAGCAGCUGGGCCCCGGCCUGCGGCCCACCGAGGACGCCAAGGGCUCCUUUGGCAGGUCCCUCAGCGCCGGCCGCCUCACGGAUCUGCUCCUUAAGGCUGCCUUUGGGACGCAGGCCCCUGACUCAGGCAGCGUGGACAGCCUGCAGGAAAAGCCCAUGGAGACCGGGCCGUCUGCUGGCUUCGGAGGGAACCUGCACCCGGGAGCCCGUGCGGGGGGCGCCGGCAGCCCUUCCCCCGUGGUGUUCACGGUGGGCUCGCCCCCCGGCGGGACCACGCCGCCCCAGGGCCCCCGUGCCCCCGUGUUCUCAGGGGGCCCCUCCAGCCCCCUCGGCUCGGCAGGCUCCUCCUCCGCCCGUCACCUGGCGCCCGGGGCCUACGGCGAGGCCCCCCUCGAGGUACCCGCCCCCGGCCACUGCCGCAGCUUUGCCGACCCCGUUGCCGCCAACCUGGAGGGGGCUGUGACCUUCGAGGCCCCCGACCUGCCCGAGGAGACCCUCAUGGAGCAAGAGCACACGGAGAUCCUGCACAGCCUGCGCUUCACGCUCGACUUUGUCCAGCACGUCCUGGAGAUCGCGGCCCUGAAGGGCAGUGCCAGCGAGGCGGCCGGGGGGCCUGAGUACCAGCUGCAGGAGAGCGUGGUGGCCGACCAGAUCAGCCUGCUGAGCCGCGAGUGGAGCUUCGCGGAGCAGCUGGUGCUCUACCUGAAGGCGGCCGAGCUCCUCUCCUCGGGCCUGCAGACCGCCAUCGACCAGAUCCGGGCCGGCAAGCUCUGCCUGUCGUCCACCGUGAAGCAGGUGGUGCGGAAGCUGAACGAGCUGUACAAGACGAGUGUGGUGUCCUGCCAAGGCCUGAGCCUGCGGCUGCAGCGCUUCUUCCUAGACAAGCAGCGGCUCCUAGACCGCAUCCAGAGCGUCGCCGCCGAGAAGCUCAUCUUUAGCCACGCGGUGCAGACGGUGCAGUCGGCCGCCCUGGACGAGAUGUUCCACCGCCGGGAGGACUGUGUCCAGCGCUACCACAAGGCCCUGCUGCUCAUGGAGGGACUGCAGCAGAUCCUCUCGGACCAGGCAGACGUGGAGAACAUCGCCAAGUGCAAGCUGUGCAUCGAGCGGAGACUCUCGGCCCUGCUGACCGGCAUCUGUGCCUGACCUCCUGGAGGCCCGGCCCACGGUGCCCAAGGGGCCUGGACCUUUACUGCCGAUCCAUGGGGUGGGGAGCAGCUGGCCGGACUUGAAGGGACAAGCCCACGGCCGUGACACCACUCGCUGGUGCUGGGGAAAGGACCGUGGCUCCCCACCCAGCGUCCGGAGCCAGGCCUCAGGCUGCGUCUCUGUCUCCUGGGCUCUGCGGCCGUGGACUUCAGGGCGCUGGAGGCCCCGCACAGAACCUCGACGUAGGCCAGUCCCCUGGCCUGGCUGACGGGCAGAACUCCCCGCCCAGCCGGCGAUCUGAACUGCUCUCCCGGCUGCCUCGAUGGCAGGUGGGGAUGCGUGGGCAGCCCCCGCCCCGCCCAGACCCCAGGGCUGUCUCGCUGAGGACAAGCAGAGGCCCUGAGACCGUGAUGCCCACUCAAGCCAAAGCCGCCAGGCCUGCCCAGCGGAUCCACCCAGCAGAAGAGGAAUGUUGGGUCCUCGAAAUUCAAGACCAUCGAAGAUGACCUGGUGUCUGCCCUGGUCCGGUCGGGUUGUAUUCCGGAGAAUCACGGGGAGGACAUGCGGAAGAUGUCCUUCCAGCGCUGCGCCCGGACGGACAAGGUAGGUGCUGUCCCCACAUCCCCUGCGGGUGCAGGCAGCACCGAAGCCGCCGGUCUGUGGCUUGUGUUUGCCCUCAUCCCACUUUCCAUCUUAGCACCUUUAUCUCUCAAGAUUCUCUUGGUUACAAUUGACAGAUGCACAGCUCAGACUAGUGUAAGUGGAAAGAAAGUUGUUGCCUCGUGUGGCCAAGAAACUGGGGCAUUUCCGGCCCAGGUGUGGCUGGACCUAGGUGCUCAGGGCCACAGGGUCUGGCAUCCUCUCUGUCUGUGCUUUCUCCUCUGUCGCUCCUGUGGGUGGCGUGGUGGCCACAACAUCUGCCUUAGAUCCAUCCACCUCAGGCUCGCGAUACACGUAGGACCGCGUGGCCGCAGAGGCCCACGUGCGUGUGGUGUGCAGCUUCCUAGGAGCCACAGCCAAAAGGGAAAAGGGGGCAGGUGACGCUGGGUUUUGUUAUCAAUUUUAUUUAACUUAGUGUGUCCAAGGUAGUCGCCUUUCAACGUGUAAUCAACAUAAAAAGCGAUGAACGGGAAAUAGUUUCCACUGUGCGUGUGUGAGCGCCAAGUCUUUGGAACCCCGCGGGAGUCGCACGCUCAGGAGUCUCGGGUGGCCGUGACCCAGCACUGUCCAUUCAUGCUCAAGAGAUUGAGUCCUGCUGUCUGCUUGGCUCUCCCACCGUCCCAGGCCAGUCGCUGGCUGGUCCCACCCUGGCACAUUGCCAGGUGUGGGGCUGGUGCGAGCAGGGGCUCCCCACAAAGGAGUGGAGGGUGUCGCCGAGGCAGGUGGGACAACCAGCCACAGAGAACGUGAAGCUCUCCCCCAGGAGAGAGAAAACCCAAAGUGCCUGUGCACCUGUGAGCCUGCUCUCUCAGACCCGGGCCCUGAAUCAUCUCUCUGGCCACCUAAGGUCACUGGGAGUCUGUGGUACACGUAGCUUUUUGCAGGUCAGGGUCCUGGGAAUCUGAAUAACGUUGAGUUUCAAAGGUGCAGCGUCCCCUGGGAUCCACAGGCCCAGGCCAGAACCCCGGAGCCAGAGCUACCGCACAGACAGCUAAGAACAAAAACAGGCGCCUGGCAGUCUCGUGGGUGAUCCAGUCACAUGUUAGCUGGUCCAGGGUGUGUCUGCGGCCGGCCAGGUUGUGUCCCUGAAGGUGUGGCUGAUUGACGACCUUUUAGAAAAGAUUAACAGCCACCUUCCGUCUCACAUUCGGAUACUGGCCUUAGCUCAGAAGUUUUACGGGAACGGCCAUGGUUUUAGCCACUGUUUGCCAGCCCCGGGGUCAAAGCAUCCAUGGGCCAGUUACCACAGCUGCCUUCUCGUGAAGCCAGGCCACCUUGCACGCACCUCACACCUGCAGCCACGCACUUGCACCUGUCCUGCUGUCGUGACGUGUAUUUCAGGUCUGCCUGUGUCAUCACCCGCACACUACACUGUCAGUUUUUCUUUAACCAGAGAAUUAAAAACACUUUUAAAUGCU